rnacentral:rRNA from 1 species
CCCUUAGAUGUUCUGGGCUGCACGCGCGCUACACUGAUGCGAUCAACAAGUUUUUCCUAUGUCGAUAGACACGGGUAAUCUUUUGAACUCGCAUCGUGAUGGGGAUAGAUUAUUGUAAUUAUUAGUCUUCAACGAGGAAUUCCUAGUAGGUGCAAAUCAUCAGUUUGCAUCGAUUACGUCCCUGCCCUUUGUACACACCGCCCGUCGCUGCUACCGAUUGGUUGAUCUGGUGAAUUAUUCGGACUGCCGGCUGAAGGGGUUUCCUCAUCUGCCAGCGGAAAGUCUUGUUAACCCUAUCAACUAGAGGAAGCAGAAGUCGUAACA